rnacentral:rRNA from 1 species
AUUGAACGCUGGCGGCAGGCCUAACACAUGCAAGUCGAACGGUAACAGGAAACAGCUUGCUGUUUCGCUGACGAGUGGCGGACGGGUGAGUAAUGUCUGGGAAACUGCCUGAUGGAGGGGGAUAACUACUGGAAACGGUAGCUAAUACCGCAUAACGUCGCAAGACCAAAGAGGGGGACCUUCGGGCCUCUUGCCAUCGGAUGUGCCCCGAUGGGAUUGGCUGGUUGGGGGGGUAACGGCUCACCAAGGCGACGAUCCCUAGCUGGUCUGGGGGGAUGACAGGCCACACUGGAACGCAGACACGGUCCAGACUCCUACGGGAGGCAGGAGUGGGGAAUAUUGCACAAUGGGCGCAAGCCUGAUUCAGCCAGGCCGCGUGUAUGAAGAAGGCCUUCGGGUUGUAAAGUACUUUCAGCGGGGAGGAAGGGAGUAAAGUUAAUACCUUUACUCAUUGACGUUACCCGCAGAAGAAGCACCGGCUAACUCCGUGCCAGCAGCCGCCGUAA